GCUUCCGUUUUUUCGUUUGGGUUUGCUUCUUAGAGGGACUUUACAACGAUAAGUUGUAGGGAAGUUUAAGGCAAUAACAGGUCUGUGAUGCCCUUAAAUGUCCUGGGCUGCACGCGCGCUACACUGAUGCAUUCACUGAGUGUAUCCUUGGCUGAAAGGCUUGGGUAAUCUUGAGUAUGCAUCGUGAUGGGGAUUGAUUUUAGCAAUUCUAAAUCAUGAACGAGAAGCAGCUUCUAAUUCAUGAACGAGGCGGGUCAUAAGCUUGCG
rnacentral:rRNA from 1 species